AGCAGCCGCGGUAAUUCCAGCUCCAAUAGCGUAUAUUAAAGUUGUUGCAGUUAAAAAGCUCGUAGUUGAAUUUCGGGGUUCUUCCGUUGGUCGGGCUAUCCAGUCUGUACUAGCGUGUAGAAUUCCUACCUUCUGGGGAACCAUCAUGUUAUUAAUUUAGCGUGGUGGGAAACCAGGACCUUUACCUUGAAAAAAUUAGAGUGUUCAAAGCAGGCUUACGUCUGAAUACAUUAGCAUGGAAUAAUAGAAUAGGACGGUGGUCCUGUUUUGUUGGUUUCUGAAUCACCGUAAUGAUUAAUAGGGGUAGUUGGGGGCAUUAGUAUUCAAUUGUCAGAGGUGAAAUUCUUGGAUUUAUUGAAGACUAACUUCUGCGAAAGCAUUUGCCAAGGAUGUUUUCAUUAAUCAAGAACGAAAGUUAGGGGAUCGAAGACGAUCAGAUACCGUCGUAGUCUUAACCAUAAACUAUGCCGACUAGGGAUCGGACGAUGUUAAAUUUAUUGACUCGUUCGGCGCCUUACGG
rnacentral:rRNA from 1 species